rnacentral:rRNA from 1 species
UACGUAGGGGGCAAGCGUUUGUCCGGAUUUAUUGGGCGUAAAGAGCUCGUAGGCGGCUUCGUAAGUCGGAUGUGAAAUCUCACGGCUUAACUGUGAGCGGCCAUUCGAUACUGCGAGGCUAGAGGUCGGUAGGGGGACAUGGAAUUCCUGGUGUAGCGGUGAAAUGCGCAGAUAUCAGGAAGAACACCCGUGGCUAAGGCGGUUCUCUAGUACGGUACUGACGCUGAGACGCGAAAGCGUGGGGAGCGAACAGG